UGGGGAAUUGUUCACAAUGGGCGCAAGCCUGAUGACGCAACGCCGCGUGGGGGAUGAAGGUCUUCGGAUCGUAAACCCCUGUCGAAUGGGACGAAAGACUCGCGAGUGAAUACUUCGCGAGAGUGACGGUACCCUCAAAGGAAGCACCGGCUAACUCUGUGCCAGCAGCCGCGGUAAUACAGAGGGUGCAAGCGUUGUUCGGAAUCAUUGGGCGUAAAGGGCGUGUAGGCGGUAUGUUAAGUCAUGUGUGAAAUCCCUCGGCUCAACCGGGGAACGACGCAUGAAACUGGCAAGCUAGAGUGCAGAAGGGGCAAUCGGAAUUCUUGGUGUAGCGGUGAAAUGCGUAGAUAUCAAGAGGAACACCUGAGGUGAAGACGGGUUGCUGGGCUGACACUGACGCUGAGGCGCGAAAGCCAGGGGAGCAAACGGGAUUAGAUACCCAGGUAGUCCCUGAGCGGGCUGGCAAGGCGCAU
rnacentral:rRNA from 1 species